rnacentral:snRNA from 1 species
GGAUGUGAGGGCGAUCUGGCUGCAACAUCUAUCACCCUCUUGAUUGCCAGGAUUAAUUCUGCUGAUCUGGUUGGCUAAGGGGAUGUCCCCUUCCUCCCUCCUCCCUCGCAGCUCCAAGUGCAACCUCUCCAAGGUGAGGGUUUGGUGGAAGAAGACAACAUUCCCUGAUAAAAGAGGACCGUUCUUCCAUCAAGGGAAUAGGAAUAGCUGGGCUCCUCCAAACAAGCUUUCAUAGUCCAUUCGUAGGAAAAAGUAGAGUAAUCAAGCUUCCAAGACUCCAGACACAUCCAAAUGAUCCACUGCAUGUGGCAGUCUGCCUUCCUUU